GUACCUGUAGUGCAAUGGAUAGCGCGUUGAAUUUCUAAUGCAAGGGUCGUGGGUUCAAAUCCCACCUGGGAUA
rnacentral:tRNA from 1 species